GACGAACGCUGGCGGCGGGCUUAACACAUGCAAGUCGAGCGAGCGGCGGACGGGUGAGUAAUGUCUGGGAAACUGCCUGAUGGAGGGGGAUAACUACUGGAAAAGGUAGCUAAUACCGCCUACCCUACGAUGUGCCCAGCUGGGAUUAGGUGGUAGGUGGGGUAAUGGCUCACCUAGGCGAGGAUCCCUAGCUGGUCUGAGAGGAGGACCGGCCAAAUUGGACUUGAGAAACGGUCCAGACCCCUACGGGAGGAAGAAGUGGGGAAUAUUGCACAAUGGGGGCAAGCCUGAUACGGCAAGGCCGGGUGGGUGAAGAAGCCCUUCGGGUUGUAAAGCACUUUCAGCGAGGAGGCGUUACUCGAAGAAGAAGCAACGGCUAACUCCGUGCCAGCAGCCGCGGUAAUAC
rnacentral:rRNA from 1 species